AUUGAACGCUGGCGGGAGGCCUAACACAUGCAAGUCGAGCGGAGCGGCGGACGGGGGAGUAAUGCAUAGGAAGCUGAAUGGGAGUGGGGGAGAACGUCCGGAAACGGGCGCUAAUACAGAAUACGAGCAGAUGAGCCUAGGUCGGAUUAUCUAGUUGGUGGGGUAAAGGCCUACCAAGGCGAAGAUCCGUAACUGGUCUGAGAGGAUGAUCAGUCACACUGGAACUGGGACACGGUCCAGACUCCUACGGGAGGCAGCAGUGGGGAAUAUUGGACAAUGGGCGAAAGCCUGAUCCAGCCAUGCCGCGUGUGUGAAGAAGGUCUUCGGAUUGUAAAGCACUUUAAGUUGAGAGGCGUUACCAACAGAAUAAGCCCCGGCUAACUUCGUGCCAGCAGCCGCGGUAAUAC
rnacentral:rRNA from 1 species